UAGGGAAUCUUCCACAAUGGGCGCAAGCCUGAUGGAGCAACGCCGCGUGAGUGAAGAAGGUCUUCGGAUCGUAAAACUCUGUUGUUAGAGAAGAACAUGCAGGAGAGUAACUGUUCUUGUAUUGACGGUAUCUAACCAGCAAGUCACGGCUAACUACGUGCCAG
rnacentral:rRNA from 1 species